CCUGACUGCUAUUUGGGUGAGACUAAGCCAUGCGAGUUGAAUGGGAUACCUAAAUUUUCCAUAGCAAACUGCUCCGUAACACAUGAUCAACUUGCCCUAUGGAGAAAAAUAACCUCGGGAAACUGAGGAUAAUGUUUCAUAGUUGAAAAGGCUUGGAAAAGUUUUUCAAUGAAAGGGUUAAGGAAAAUGGUCCUUAUCUGCCAUAGGAUAGGAUCGUGGUCGAUUAUGGUUGUUGGUGAGGUAAAGGCUCACCAAGCCGAUAAUCGCUAGGGGCCGUGAGAGCGGGAGCCCCGAGAUGGGUACUGAGACAACGACCCAGGCCUUACGAGGCGCAGCAGGCGCGGAACCUCCGCAAUACACGAAAGUGUGACGGGGUUACCCAAAGUGUUCAUUCUUGAACUGUGGUAGGUGAGUAAUGUUCCCUACUAGAAAGGAGAGGGCAAGGCUGGUGCCAGCCGCCGCGGUAAAACCAGCUCUUCAAGUGGUCGGGAUAAUUAUUGGGCUUAAAGUGUCCGUAGCCGGUUUAGUAAGUUCCUGGUAAAAUCGGGUAGCUUAACUAUCUGCAUGCUAGGAAUACUGCUUUACUAGAGGGCGGGAGAGGUCUGAGGUACUACAGGGGUAGGGGUGAAAUCUUAUAAUCCUUGUAGGACACCAGUGGCGAAGGCGUCAGACUGGAACGUGCCUGACGGUGAGGGACGAAAGCCAGGGGAGCGAACCGGAUUAGAUGCCCGGGUAGUCCUGGCCGUAAACGAUGCAUACUAGGUGAUGGCACGGCCAUGAGCCGUGUCAGUGCCGAAGGGAAACCGUUAAGUGUGCCGCCUGGGAAGUACGGUCGCAAGGCUAAAACUUAAAGGAAUUGGCGGGGGAGCACCACAAGGGGUGAAGCCUGCGGUUCAAUUGGAUUCAACGCCGG
rnacentral:rRNA from 1 species